rnacentral:misc_RNA from 1 species
CCAAUAGCGUAUAUUAAAGUUGUUGCAGUUAAAAAGCUCGUAGUUGAAUUUCGGGAUUAGUACGUUGGUCGUGCCUUGGUACGUACUGGUGUAACUGAUUCCUCCCUUCUGACGAACCGUUAUGCCAUUAAUUUGGUGUGGCGGGUAAUCAGGACUGUUACUUUGAAAAAAUUAGAGUGUUUAAAGCAGGCUCGCGCUUGAAUACAUUAGCAUGGAAUAAUGAAAUAGGACGUUAAUCCUAUUUUGUUGGUUUCUAGGAUCGACGUAAUGAUUAAUAGGGAUAGUUGGGGGCAUUAGUAUUCAAUUGUCAGAGGUGAAAUUCUUGGAUUUAUUGAAGACUAACUACUGCGAAAGCAUUUGCCAAGGAUGUUUUCAUUAAUCAAGAACGAAAGUUAGGGGAUCGAAGACGAUCAGAUACCGUCGUAGUCUUAACCAUAAACUAUGCCGACUAGGAAUCAGACGAUGUUAAUUUUUUAAUGACUCGUUUGGCACCUUACG